AUGGCCAGUCCGCUGUCGCUUAUCUUCUUCAUCACAAACUGCCGACAUGAAAGCAGGAAGUCAACCGCGCCUCCGCGCAGGACCACCGGUGACGUCCGCUUCAUCGUCGUCAUGCACGACCACCAACGCCGUCCCCAUGAUCAUCAUCACACACAACCACUGGCGUCGUUGUCACGCACGGCCACCGUCGCCGUUCGCCUCGUCGUUGACUUCGGCAUCAUCUUCUCGGCUGCUCGGCGCCGGCCUCCUUAG
rnacentral:rRNA from 1 species